rnacentral:rRNA from 1 species
UAGGGAAUCUUCCGCAAUGGACGCACGUCUGACGGAGCAACGCCGCGUGAGUGAAGAAGGAUUUCGGUUCGUAAAACUCUUUUGUUAGAGAAGAACAGCGCAUAGAGUAACUGUUAUGCGUGUGACGGUAUCUAACCAGAAAGCCACGGCUAACUACGUGCCAGCAGCCGCGGUAAUACGUAGGUGGCAAGCGUUGUCUGGAUUUAUUGGGCGUAAAGCGAGCGCAGGCGGUCAAUUAAGUCUGAUGUGAAAACCCCCGGCUCAACCGGGGAGGGUCAUUGGAAACUGGUUGACUUGAGGGCAGAAGAGGAGAGUGGAAUUCCAGGUGUAGCGGUGAAAUGCGUAGAUAUAUGGAGGAACACCAGUGGCGAAGGCGACUCUCUGGUCUGUAACUGACGCUGAGGCUCGAAAGCGUGGGUAGCAAACAGG